UCCAUAUGGGUGACACAUCAUCAC
rnacentral:siRNA from 1 species